AGAGUUUGAUCAUGGCUCAGGAUGAACGUUGGCGGCGUGCCUAACACAUGCAAGUCGAACGGUGGUAGCAAUACUACAGUGGCGCACGGGUGAGUAACACGUAGCUUACCAGCCUCUCAGCGCGGGAUAACGGCUCGAAAGAGCUGCUAAUACCGCAUAAGCUCACGGGUUGUAGAGACCUGCGAGAAAAGGCGAAAGUCACUGAGAGACGGGGCUGCGGCCCAUCAGCUAGUUGGUGCGGUAACGGCGUACCAAGGCGACGACGGGUAGGGGUCCUGAGAGGGAGACCCCCCACACUGGAACUGACACACGGUCCAGACUCCUACGGGAGGCAGCAGUAAGGGAUAUUGGUCAAUGGGGGCAACCCUGAACCAGCAACGCCGCGUGGAGGAUGAAGGGUUUCGGCCUGUAAACUCCUUUUGGUAGGGAAGAGUAAGGACAGUACCUAUCGAAUAAGUCACGGCUAACUACGUGCCAGCAGCCGCGGUAAUUC
rnacentral:rRNA from 1 species